rnacentral:rRNA from 1 species
UCCACGCCCUAAACGAUGUCGACUAGCUGUUGGGCACAUUGAAGUGCUCAGUAGCGUAGCUAACGCGUUAAGUCGACCGCCUGGGGAGUACGGCCGCAAGGUUAAAACUCAAAGGAAUUGACGGGGGCCCGCACAAGCGGUGGAGCAUGUGGUUUAAUUCGAUGCAACACGAAGAACCUUACCCUCCCUUGACAUCCCGGGAAUGCCCCAGAGAUGGGGCAGUGCCUUGGGAA